rnacentral:rRNA from 1 species
UACGUAGGAUCCAAGCGUUGUCCGGAUUUACUGGGCGUAAAGCGCACGUAGGCGGCUUUGUAAGUUAGAGGUGAAAGCCCGGGGCUCAACCCCGGAAUUGCCUUUAAGACUGCAUCGCUUGAAUCCGGGAGAGGUGAGUGGAAUUCCGAGUGUAGAGGUGAAAUUCGUAGAUAUUGGGAAGAACACCGGUGGCGAAGGCGGCUCACUGGCUCGUAACUGACGCUCAUGCACGACAGCGUGGGGAUCAAACAGG